rnacentral:rRNA from 1 species
UACGGGGGGGGUAAGCGUUGUUCGGAAUUACUGGGCGUAAAGGGCUCGUAGGCGGCCAACUAAGUCAGACGUGAAAUCCCUCAGCUUAACUGGGGAACUGCGUCGGAUACUGGAUGGCUUGAAUUCGGGAGAGGGAUGCAGAAUUCCAGGUGUAGCGGUGAAAUGCGUAGAUAUCUGGAGGAAUACCGGUGGCGAAGGCGGCAUCCUGGACCGACAUUGACGCUGAACGGCGAAAGCUAGGGGAGCAAACGGG